CGGCCAUAGCGGCGGGGCCACUCCUGAUCCCAUCCCGAACUCAGAAGAUAAGCCCGCCCACGUUCUGUGCUGUACUUAGGUGCGCGAGCCCUCGGGAACCGCAGAUCGCUGCCGUGA
rnacentral:rRNA from 1 species